UGCAAAAGCAAGAGGUUUAUUUUCAGGCCUGUCGGGGUCGACCUUCAAAUAGUCCCUCAAGGAGAGUUACUAAGAAAGCCACACCGAAUGGCUAUUACAAGCAGUUUUUAUACUUUUUAGGGGCACAGGUUACAUCAGCAAGAUUACAGUUCGAACUUAUUGGCUAAGCAUAUUGAUCACUAAAUCUAUUGGCUAGCAGGCAUGACAGGAAUUUGAACUCUACCUGGGACUUUUCAGAGGGUCAGGUAACUAU
ensembl:sense_intronic